UCUUACAGUUUGAAGGCUGAAGUCUCUGCACGACUGCACUCGUAGCUGCAGAGCCUACAAGGAUUCACCGGCUGAGUUGACUGUUUGGUGGAAGGGACACUGCAGCUGCUGUGUCGGCCACUGGAGGGCGCUCUGCCAUUGUUGACUUCAGUAGGACUGCUGGAACUAUGGAAGAGUCUUCAGGACCAGUUUGAGUUCGCCCUGACUGCCGUCGCUGAGGAGGUCAACGCCAUCCUCAAAGCUCUGCCCCAGUGAAACCAGUACGACCCAGACCAGCCUCCUGUCUGACGCACUGACGCUGCCCCCUGACUCUCGCACGCAUUCUCCUAGUUACUUUGCCUUUUUUUUGCAAACAAGAAGCUGUCUGCCUGUAAACUACAGUUUCCGGCAAAAGUUGCUGUAGUUUGUGUUUCUGUAGCUGUUUUUUUUUUUUAUCUCCUUAGAAAAGAAAAAUAGACACAAAUGUAUUGAUCAAGAAUAAUUUAAUAACACGUUAUCCCUUUCUUCUCUUUCCAGAUGAGUUCAGAGUUUUCGGACCAAAACUGAGGACGACCAAGUUUCUUUAUCUCAUCCAUUUCUUCACACUUUACUUUCCGUCAGAGCUUUUGGUUGAUCAUUUAUGAUGCUCUUAGUGUUGCUGUAGAUCUUAAAACUCUUUUAUUAUUUUAACAUCAUCAUUAUUAUUAUAGUUGUGGGGUCAGGGAACCUUUUAAGUUUGGAUACAGAUCAGUAUAGUAACCAAUCAGCAGAACAUUGGAGAGACUAAAGCCCCAUUUGGAAGAGAUUAACAUCACAGGGUUGGUGGGGAAUCAAAUAUUUACUGGAUAAUAACUGUAAUAAAUGUGAACAUACAGAGCACAUAUUAUUAUUAUUAUUAUUAUUACCCAUCAUAGGAUCACAAUCAUAGGAUAAAGAUGCUGCAGAACUUGCCUGUGAAUCAGCAGGUUUUUAAGUUUUCUUUAGUAUAAAAAUAAUCUAGUGAUAGUUGUGUGAACAUUGAUCGGUACGCAGCAAAUGGGAACUGCCAAUAGCUAGUUCGGCACACUUUUAAUGCUAAAAUCUGAACAUAUUUGACACAUUUCAAGAUCUUUAAUGUGGUUUUGCUCUCCUGAUGGCUUUAUGUUUUGAGUCUGUCGUCAUAUAAAUAGGUCUGUAUGUUGGUGUUGGCAUGUUUCCACAUCAUCAGCAGAAUCAUUUUCCCACAUUUGAAAAAAACAAGCAGCUGUAUUAUUAUAUACAUAUUCAAUCCACACAAAGUAGGUGAUGUUAAAAUCUCCCAACCUCACCAGGUGAAAUAAAUACCGUCCAAAUGGGGCUUAAAUCAAGUUAAGACGUAAUCUGUCGCUUUAUUUCUGUACAUAUGUUUCUUUUUCUUAUGAAAUGUGAACUCCUCCUUAAACUGUAAAACAGUGAAAUUUAAGAAUGUGAUUCUGAAAAGCCGCUUUCUUUGUAUCAGAAAUACUAUGAACACACGUCCAUUUAAAGGAAACUUUAAAAGAAUAAUUUGUGGAAAAAAUUGUGUGACACAUCAUGUAUGUGUUAAGUUUUCCUGUAGCAACCUGAGCUUUUUAUUUAAGAAACUGUAUCAUGAGCUUUUGUUUUCUAAAGUGUUGUAACAGUGGAACGAGCAAUUAAACUACUUAAUGACUUAA